UGGGGUGGCAGAAGUCAGGACGGGGCAGGAAACACAGUGGGAGAGGAAGUAGAGCAGGUGAACAGCUUUCUCUCCAGGGCAGCUCUGGUCACAAAAUACAUGACAAAAUCAGGAAGAGUGAACAUGCUUACUCAACAGGCCAUGGGAUGGAACAGAAGGAAGAGGGACAACCUUCAUCAAGUUUUAGCACACAGA